rnacentral:rRNA from 1 species
GCUUAACGCGAAGAACCUUACCCAGACUUGACAUGCACUAGACCGCUUCAGAAAUGAAGCUUCCCUUCGGGGCUGGUGCACAGGUGCUGCAUGGCUGUCGUCAGCUCGUGCCGUGAGGUGUUGGGUUAAGUCCCGCAACGAGCGCAACCCUUAUCAUUAGUUGCCAACACGUAAUGGUGGGAACUCUAAUGAGACUGCCUGGGUUAACCAGGAGGAAGGUGAGGAUGACGUCAAGUCCGCAUGGCCCUUAUGUCUGGGGCUACACACGUGCUACAAUGGUCGGUAUAAAAGGCAGCGAAACCGUGAGGUGAAGCAAAUCCCGAAAGCUGGCCCCAGCUCAGAUUGUAGUCUGCAACUCGACUACAUGAAGAUGGAAUUGCCAGUAAUGGCGAGUCAGCAACAUCGCCGUGAAUACGUUCCCGGGUCUUGUACACACCG